ACACAUCUGGUCCAACACUACUUUGGGAUAUGUUUUGCUAAGGUUGCUGUUCUGCCUGGAAGGCCCUCAUUCCUCAGCUGCAUGACCCGAGGUUUCCUUCCUCUAAGACCUUGCUAGCGGCUCCUAGAUGCCUUCCAAACCAAAUUCUCUUCUAUGAGAUCAGCUCUUAGCUUUGUAUUCCCUGGCACUUAUGGAGUAUGUUAUGGAGUCUCCUGCCAGUGCUUCCAAUCGCUGAACUGAACUGGGAACAAAUCAACAAGGGAAACCAAGAGAUGCAUUCCUUGAAGUUCAGCCUCCAGGCCUCAAGUAAGGCAGAGGAAGAGAAUACAUAGAUCUGUGGAGAAGAGUGGUGAUGGUGGGAGCUGCCAAUAAAGAACUAUCAAAAAAGACGAAGUCUUUGUCGUCCAGGCUAGAGUGCAGCUGUGUGAUCUCAGCUCAUUGUAACCUCCACCUCCUGAUACAAGCAAUUCUUCUGCCUCAGCCUCCUGAGUAGGUGGGACUACAG
rnacentral:lncRNA from 1 species